CCACCGCAUCCGGUGAUAUUUUGAUAUAUGUAUAUAUUGUGGAAUGACUAAAUCAACCUAAAUAACUUGUCAUUUACCUCACGUACUUAUCUUUUUUGGUGUGAUAAGAACAUUUAAAACUAUUAUCUUAGCAAUUUUCAAUUAUACAGUACGUUGUUCCUAACCACAGUCACCAUGUUGUAUAGUAGAUGUCCUUAACACAUUCCUCCUAAUUCCUCCUGAUGUUAUAGUUUGAUCAACAUCUCCUCAACCCACCACCACCUCUGCAGCCCCUGGUAACCUCUCUUCUAUUCUCUGCUUCUAUGAGUUCAACUUUUUUAGAUUCCACAUAUAAGUGAGAUCAUGUAGCAUUUGUCUUUCUGGGCCUGGUUUAUUUCACUUAAAAUAAUGCACCAGGUUCAUCCAUGUCUCAAAUGACAGGAUGUCUUUUUUUACAUAUUCCUUAAAUUGUAAUGUACUGACUCCCCCACAAUUAGGAAUGAGAGUAUUGGAUCCAACAAGCAUUUAUUGAAGGUCUCCUAAACUUAUGCAGAGCACUGUGAGGUCACAAGGAAGAGGCUGCUCCUGUUUCCAUGGUGUCUACAAGCCAGUGUGCCCAUGAAGCCAUAAUUUGUUAAUUCAUGGUUCCAGCCAGGCCAGUAAGUUGCCUUAGCUUUCCUGUCACUGCACGCGGCAGAGCGGCAUCAGCCUGCGGAAGCCGGAAGCGGAAACCAGCCUUCCCUGGCAAGUGCGCAGCUGCCUGCUGGGCUGCACCACCUGUCUGGACGCACACAAGGUGCGCUUCCGCCCUGGGGAAGGAGAUCUUGUCAUCUUAAAUGCAGAGGCAGAGACAGUUAUUCAGUCAGGAUUGGCCAAGUUAUGCUGCAUUAAUGAACAGUUCCCCAAAUCGCAGUGGUAUAACGCAGUAAGAGCUCAUUUUUCACUCAUGCUUCGUAAAGUGGGUCCACGUAUCCCAGUCACUAAGGGAUCCCCUCAUGUGAUGCUUCUACAAUUGCUGAAGCAGAAAAAGGAACAUGCACUACCCUGAGAACUUUGGCACCUGUCUAGAGUGUUUCUCGCAAGUAAACAGCCACAAACCCACAAGACAGUAUGGAUGUUGCUGCCGAUGUCAGGAGGACACGCUGGGGGAAGUUGACAUGAACUGAUGGGAAGCAAGGAGGGAGAGUUUUUUUAUGGGACUAGGAUGAAAGAUGACUCUUCCUACAAAAUGCCAUAGAAGGUGGUAUGCCUGGAAAGGAGUGAACUGGUGUUCUGCUAGGGCAUGCACUGCACGCCGUCAGCUGUUACUAAGGGAUUUCUAUGUGUGGAUGGAUGGCAGGGUCCUGGGUAUCAGGAGGGCUGAGCUCCUUUUCCCCACUCUGGUUUUGUAUUUAUCUUGAUAACCCCCAAAGGAGUAAAAUGCAUAACCUACGUAGUACAUUUGAAAUUUUCUCUCACUCUUUCUGUUCCCUCCCCAUUUCUACCUGCAAAAAUCUUAUGCGUUCAGCAAAGGACUCUUACCAAACAGGUCAGUGUAAAGUCUUCCUAGACCAUCCUCCCAGACAGAAUGAAGCCCUUCAGGUGCUCACUGUAUCCUUACAUAUACUAUUAUAGCACUUAUAUUGUGUUAUAAUUUGCCAUUUAUACCAUUACUUCAUUUAACAAAAUUUAGUACCAGGUACUAUUCUACGUGCUUAACCAGUAUUAUCUUGUUUAGUCCUCAUAACCUGCCUAACAGUGAUUACUGUUAUUACUUCCGUUUUGCAUAUGAGAUAAUUCAGGCUCAGGAGUAGGUACUUUCCACAAGGCCAUUGGGUGAGAAAGCACUGGAAUAGGAUUGGAGCCCAGGUAAUUGGACUCCCUCAACUAGGUCAGGAGCCCCUGGGGAGCAGGUAGGUCAUGGUUAGCUUUGUUUCCUCACCAGGCUAGCUCAGUACUUGGCCAUUAGGAGUGUUUAUUAGGUGAACAAGCACAGUAGUGAAACCUGUUGAUGGACCAUAACUUGAUUAGCCUGUUUCCAAAUUUUACGGUAUUGUACUGCUACAAAUAUAUUGUAUAAAUUAGUUUGAUUUCAUUGGGGUUAUUUGGGGUAAAUUCCCUUAAAUGAAAUGACUCAAGAAAUAUAAGCAGCAGUUUUAUAGAUAAUUGCUUACAUCACCCUCCUGGGAUUUGGAAUUUAUCAUUCCAACAGCUACUUUCCGGUACUUUUAUCAUUGUGUCCUCAGUGCUUUGUUCUUAUUCUAACAAAUUUGAAAUGAUAUUUAUAGGGGACCACAUGGGCUGGGAUUGGCCUGUAGACCUGGGGCCACUGAUGACUGAUGAGUUCACUCUAGGAUUACCAUGGGAAUUAUAAACUUUUAUUUGGAUUCCCGGACCCCUGUUGAAGUUUAUUAGCUCACUGGGAAGUUAAGAGAAGCCCCCGUCUUUGAAAUGGGGUGGGUUUUUUUCAAUCUAAUACACAGAACUGGGGCCUUUCAAUCUAAUAGACAGAACUGGGGCCUUUCAGUUUAAUAGACAGAACUGGGCCUAGGAAAAAGCAGCAGUCUUUCUUUGUGUUCCUUUUCUGUUCUCUCCGAUUAGAUUGUGCAGUAGCACCGAGAGCUGUGCCUACCAGCCCCACCCCCCACCCUACCAGCCCCACACCCAGAGACCUCAGUUGUCCCCUCCUGAAAAAAAAAUUAAAGAGAAGGAACUCAUUUUUACCAAAUUAUAAAUGACUGACGGUAGUUUGGAAGCACCAACCUAAAAGUUGGAGAAGGGGAUCGCACCUUAAAAGAAACAAGGCAGACAGGCCUGUGAACCUUGCUGUGUAAUCCUGUGCCCUGAAAACAAUGGGGUUUAGAAGGUUCUUCUUGGCCCAAGGCCAUUUGCAGGAAGCCUGGCCUGGACUGAGAGGCAGCAGCAGAAUAACCAAGGGCUUCCUUCAGUUUCUGGCUGAACAGCUGAGGUAGAUUCUGGAGUUUGGCAGCGGGGCCUGACAGAGCGUGGUUCCCGCCAAGCAGCAUGCGGCUGGCCUGGUGGUGGUGAGGCCGAUAACAGCAGCAGAAAACCUGUUCGAGCCAUCAUUGGUGCUUCCCUGGGUCAACACCACAGCCUUGUGUCUGGAAGCCUUCCAAUCUCAUCCACUUCUAAUCCUUAACUGUAAUCUAAAAAUGCAGAUCACAUUAUGUAACUCCUUGC